CUUUCACUUUCACUUAGAGCAAGAUGGCAGCCCGCGUCCCUGUGUGAAGCCGUCUGCAGCAGCUGCCAGAGCCCUGCUUGCUGUUUCCUUUCUCACCACCCACCUCACCCGGAAAUCCCCUGGUGAUUUCAAGACCUGACCUCUGCACCCUUUUGCUCCCCACCUGUCCCAAAAAAGUGGAGCUAUAACUGUGGGAAAAGGGGAUCUGAAGUCAGACACAGGAUCCACAGUAGCCUGGGGACCUUUCUCACCCCCGCCCUUAAGCAGGCCCCAACAUAACCGGCUGAGAAACCUCCUCUGCCAGAUCCUGACCUGAGCCAGGAGGCGGCCAGGAAACUGGAUUUUGGGACUGGGAUUUCAGAGAGGAAGCUGGAGAGCUGCAGGUCUCGAAAAGGCACUCUGUCACGUGUACACAGGAAAGGGCCCUGACAAGAGGAUGGGACUGCAGUUGUGGCUGCCAGGGCCCCGGCCAGGGUGAAAACAAGGAACAUUCCAGAGAAGAUCACAAGGAUGCGAAUAAAAUCGGAGCUGCACAGGGAUCUUUGGGCUGAGCUUUCUGUCUGGCUUCCCUCCUGGCCCCUCGUGUAUGCAUUCUCUCUAGCGGUGGGGAUUAAGGAGAAAACUCACGUGGCCAGUGGGUAGAGAGAGUCCGGGCAGGCAGCUGCCUGAAGUCAGCCAGAGUCUGCAUGUGCCCAGCUGUCCUGGCCUCCAGCAUCUCUGGAAAAACAGAGACAGAAUGAGUAGCAGCAGGGGACCCCAUAGGGCACAUCUGAAGGCCUGAGAGGUGCUGGAUGGGAUGGGAAGGCAGAAACAGGCUGACCUUAUCUAGGGGUAGGAGUGGGGAGUACUGGUUGGGGUAUCACCGCUACCCCACGUGAUGGCACAGAGAGUUGCCUGGAACUUACCACUGACAUAAGGUUGGAGUGCAGUGGCACGAUCUCGGCUCAGUGCAACCUCCGCCUCCUGAGUUCAAGUGAUUCUCCUGCCUCAGCCUCCCUAGUAGCUGGGAUUACAGGACAAGGAGAGGGACAAAUUCCUUCUUGGCAUCCUUAUGGCCCUGUGACCUGCUAAUGAAUGCUGACUCUGAGUUGCUACUAGAAUUUGGUUUCCUUGUGGCUUCCCAGGAAUUGGUCUCACUCUGCUCACUCUGUCUCCCAAGCUGGAGUGCAGUGGUACAGUCACGGCUCACUGCAGCCUCCACUUCCUGGACUCAAGUGAUCUUCUCACUUCAGCCUUCUGAGUAGCUGGGACUACAGCCCCCUCUGCAGCUCUUCAUGGGGGUCCACUCAAGUCAGAAGCCACAUUUGGGUGUGAUUCAGAGAGCUGUUUAUGCAAAACCAGCUUUGUCACCAUCAGGCAAGGCACCUGAAUUCCCACCGCAGAGAGUGUUGUGGCCGUGAGGACUUUUCUGUCACCAGCCAUUUCCAGGUAGACCCAGUGUAAUCACAAGCAUCCUUGUAAGUGGCAAAGAGGCAGAGGAGACAGCGCCAGAGAGGCAGCUGCAUGAGAAGGAUCAAGAUGUUGCUGACUUUGAAGUUGGAAGAAGAAGGCCAUGAGCCUCAGUAUGUGGGCGGCUUCUAGAAGCUGGAAGGGGCAAGGAGAUGGAUUUGACCCUUCAGCCUCCAGGGGCAGCUGUACCUGCCAUCACUGAUUGUAGCCUGGUGAGGCCUGUUUUAGACUUCUGACCUGUAGAGCUGUAACAUAAUACAUUUGGGUUGUUUUCAACCACUAAGUUUGUGGUAAUUUGUUGUAGCAGCUGUAGAAAAUGAAUACAUAUGAAUCCUCUGGCAUUUGUUUGAGAUUUGCUCUAUGGCCUAGUAUGUGGUUGUAAAUGUUCCAUCUGUGCCUGAAAAAAUGUAUAUUUCUAAUUCAGUAGUCUCUGCUUUUUUUUUUUAUUUUGUACCCCAUCAAUAAAAUGAUUUUCAGCAUGUAUCCCCAAAUAAACAAUAUUUUAUUUAUUGAUUGAUUGAUAAACAGACAUGUUUAAUGAUAGCUUGCUUUUCACAGAGGUGACUUCGGAGACUUCUAAUCUAUAAUCCAGGAGUAUAUAACCAUG
rnacentral:lncRNA from 1 species